CAGUUCAGGCCAGCAUCAGUUUGCCUCGGGGGAUAAAAGUAGCGGGAAUGUGGCUCCUCCGGGAGUGUUAUACCCCGCUGCAUAAUACCCUGUGGCACACUGAGGACCGCGCUUCGUGCAAGGAUGCUGGCGUAAUGGUCAUCAGCGACCCGUCUUGAAACACGGACCAAGGAGUCAGAGUCA
rnacentral:rRNA from 1 species